AUUGAACGCUGGCGGCAUGCCUUACACAUGCAAGUCGAACGGUAACGCGGGGCAACCUGGCGACGAGUGGCGAACGGGUGAGUAAUGCAUCGGAACGUGCCCGGUAGUGGGGGAUAACUGCUCGAAAGAGCAGCUAAUACCGCAUACGACCUGAGGGUGAAAGGGGGGGAUCGCAAGACCUCUCGCUAUCGGAGCGGCCGAUGUCGGAUUAGCUAGUUGGUGGGGUAAAGGCCCACCAAGGCAACGAUCCGUAGCUGGUCUGAGAGGACGACCAGCCACACUGGGACUGAGACACGGCCCAGACUCCUACGGGAGGCAGCAGUGGGGAAUUUUGGACAAUGGACGCAAGUCUGAUUCAGCAAUGCCGCGUGCGGGAAGAAGGCCUUCGGGUUGUAAACCGCUUUUGUUAGGGAAGAAAUCCUCUGGGCUAAUACCUUGGGGGGAUGACGGUACCUGAAGAAUAAGCACCGGCUAACUACGUGCCAGCCGCCGCCGUAAGAC
rnacentral:rRNA from 1 species